GACGGAACUGUCAUUUUUGAAGCAAUUAGCCCUCUAAGGGUGGAAAUGUUGGCAGUUUAGUGGCGGACGGGUGAGUAACGCGUAGGGUAACCUGCACUUACACAGGUCUCAUAAAAAAAUGGAAACAGGUGCUAAUACCGCAUAACAGGAAGAGGCGCAUGCCACUUUCUUGAAAACUCCGGUGGUGUAAGAUGGACCCGCGUCUGAUUAGCUAGUUGGCGGGGUAACGGCCCACCAAGGCGACGAUCAGUAGCCGGCCUGAGAGGGUGGACGGCCACAUUGGGACUGAGACACGGCCCAAACUCCUACGGGAGGCAGCAGUGGGGACUACUCGACAAUGGGGGGAACCCUGAUCCAGCGACGCCGCGUGAGUGAAGAAGUAUUUCGGUCCCCAAAGCUCUAUCAGCAGGGAAGAAAGAAAUGAAAAAACAUGACUAUGAAGCCCCGGCUAGGGACGAACCAGCAGCCGCGGUAAUACGUAGGGGGCAAGCGUUAUCCGGAUUUACUGGGUGUAAAGGGAGCGUAGACGGUGAUGCAAGUCUGAAGUGAAAGGCGGGGGCUCAACCCCCGGACUGCUUUGGAAACUGUAUGACUGGAGUGCAGGAGAGGUAAGUGGAAUUCCUAGUGUAGCGGUGAAAUGCGUA
rnacentral:rRNA from 1 species